UAGUGAUCCGGUGGUUCCGCAUGGAAGGGCCAUCGCUCAACGGAUAAAAGCUACCCCGGGGAUAACAGGCUUAUCUCCCCCAAGAGUUCACAUCGACGGGGAGGUUUGGCACCUCGAUGUCGGCUCAUCGCAUCCUGGGGCUGUAGUCGGUCCCAAGGGUUGGGCUGUUCGCCCAUUAAAGCGGUACGCGAGCUGGGUUCAGAACGUCGUGAGACAGUUCGGUCCCUAUCCGUCGUGGGCGUAGGAAAUUUGAGAGGAGCUGUCCUUAGUACGAGAGGACCGGGAUGGACAUACCUCUGGUGUACCAGUUGUCGGGCCAACGGCAUAGCUGGGUAGCUAUGUAUGGACGGGAUAAGUGCUGAAAGCAUCUAAGCAUGAAGCCCCCCUCAAGAUGAGAUUUCCCAACUUCGGUUAUAAGAUCCCUCAAAGAUGAUGAGGUUAAUAGGUUCGAGGUGGAAGCGUAGCGAUACGUGGAGCUGACGAAUACUAAUCGAUCGAAGACUUAAUCAAUUU
rnacentral:rRNA from 1 species